UGUGGUCUGCAACCCGACCACACGAAGCUGGAAUCGCUAGUAAUCGCGGAUCAGAAUGCCGCGGUGAAUACGUUCCCGGGUCUUGUACACACCGCCCGUCACACCAUGGGAGUCAGCAACGCCCGAAGUCAGUGACCCAACCUUUUAGGAGGGAGCUGCCGAAGGCGGGGCAGGUGACUGGGGUGAAGUCGUAACAAGGUAAC
rnacentral:rRNA from 1 species